rnacentral:lncRNA from 1 species
UAAGUAUAUAAAUGCAUUGGUUGAAAUACUGAAAUUAGGUUGGUUAUGUUUGAAAUUUUGCAGGGGGUUUAAUGUAAAAAUAAGUCGAAAUGCUGCCGAAAAUUUUAUAAAUAAAAAAUAAAAAAAAUGAAUGAAAUCAAUUAGUACAAAUUUAUAACAAUUUAUGAAUUAUUUUAAUAUGUUGGUUAUUUAUUUUGAUUUAUUUAUAAAUUGUUUGAUAUGUCCGGUAAUGCCUCGUAACCCAGUUCUGGCGACGGUUUGGGGUUAGGGGGUGUUACAACUUCUAUGUCUUUUUCAUGUUGUUUGCAGGUUUGUGGUGUCAGGCGAAGCAUGUAGCGGAGGGCAGGUGAUGGGACGUGACGUGCGGCGCACAUGGCCCUGGCAUGUGGCGCUGGAGGUGUUAAGGGGAGCUAGGGUUUUCUGAAAUUUUAGGGUGUUGGGCCAUAAUGUUUGGGCCAUUAGUUUUUUUUAGAAUUGGGCUCGUGGGUUUGUUUAUUUUGUAAAUGGAUUGGAUAUCGGGCCCGGGCAAAUUGGGCUGAUUACAACAAGUAUUG